GCCUCCGUAGCUCAGGGGAUAGAGCACCGGUUUCCGGUACCGAAGGUCGGGGGUUCGAAUCCCUCCGGGGGCA
rnacentral:tRNA from 2 species